rnacentral:rRNA from 1 species
UACGGAGGAUGCAAGCGUUAUCCGGAAUGAUUGGGCGUAAAGCGUCCGCAGGUGGCUGUGUAAGUCUGCUGUUAAAGAGUGAGGCUCAACCUCAUAAAGGCAGUGGAAACUACAUGGCUAGAGUGCGUUCGGGGCAGAGGGAAUUCCUGGUGUAGCGGUGAAAUGCGUAGAGAUCAGGAAGAACACCGGUGGCGAAAGCGCUCUGCUAGGCCGCAACUGACACUGAGGGACGAAAGCUAGGGGAACGAAUGGG